CUCACAGGGUUGUUGUUGUGAGGAUAAAAUGGAGAGGAGGAGGAGGAUUAUGUACACACCGCCUUGGGUUCCUUGGAGGUAAAAAAGGCGGGAUAUAAAUG